AGCUCAGUAGGUAGAGCACAUCCCUUUUAAGGAUGGGGUCCUGGGUUCGAGCCCCAGC
rnacentral:tRNA from 1 species